rnacentral:rRNA from 1 species
GUCUACAGCCAUGCCACCUUGAACAAGCCCGAUCUUGACUGAUCUCAGAAGCUAAGCAGGGUCGAGCCUGGUUAGUACUUGGAUGGGAGACCACCUAGGAAGACCAGGUGCUGUAGGCA